AGUCCCUUGGGGGAGGCUUCUGGUGAAGGAGGAUCGCUGGAACCAAGCUGUCCUCUCAAGCUAGUUGCAGCAGCCCCUCCUCCCAGCCACCUCCACCAAUCUCUCACUCACCUUUGGCUCCUUCCCUUAGGGUUACCUGGGUUGCCAAGCCUUGUCUGAGAUGAUCCAGUUUUACCUGGAGGAGGUGAUGCCCCAAGCUGAGAACCAAGACCCAGACAUCAAGGAGCAUGUGAACUCCCUGGGGGAGAACCUGAAGACCCUCAGGCUGAGGCUGCGGCGCUGUCAUCGAUUUCUUCCCUGUGAAAACAAGAGCAAGGCCGUGCAGCAGGUGAAGAAUGCCUUUAAUAAGGUGAGCUUGGAUGGUGGCAGAGAGGGUCUGCAGAGCACAGCCCAUGCCCACUCCCCAACGCCAAAGCGUGGAAGGUGGUGGGGACUCAAUAGGCCCCAUCCUUCAUUGGAGAGAGUGUGGGAACCUGACAGAUGGUAUGACCUGCUCAACCAGUGAGGAGCUGCUGCCUUGAUUGUAUUUGUUUUCUGUUAAGUGUCUUUGGGGGUUU
rnacentral:sRNA from 1 species